GAUGAACGCUGGCGGCGUGCUUAACACAUGCAAGUCGAACGGGAUCCCAGGAGCUUGCUCCUGGGUGAGAGUGGCGAACGGGUGAGUAAUGCGUGACCGACCUGCCCCAUACACCGGAAUAGCUCCUGGAAACGGGUGGUAAUGCCGGAUGCUCCAGUUGACCGCAUGGUCCUCUGGGAAAGAUUCAUCGGUAUGGGAUGGGGUCGCGUCCUAUCAGCUUGAUGGCGGGGUAACGGCCCACCAUGGCUUCGACGGGUAGCCGGCCUGAGAGGGCGACCGGCCACAUUGGGACUGAGAUACGGCCCAGACUCCUACGGGAGGCAGCAGUGGGGAAUAUUGCACAAUGGGCGCAAGCCUGAUGCAGCGACGCCGCGUGCGGGAUGACGGCCUUCGGGUUGUAAACCGCUUUUGACUGGGAGCAAGCCCUUCGGGGUGAGUGUACCUUUCGAAUAAGCACCGGCUAACUA
rnacentral:rRNA from 1 species